rnacentral:tRNA from 1 species
CGGGUAGUAGCGCAGGGGCUAGCGCACUUGGUUCGGGACCAAGGNNGGGGUCGGAGGUUCAAAUCCUCUCUGCCCGA